GGAGGCGGCGGCGGCGGCGCGGGGGAGGGGGCGGGGGCGCGAUCGAUGGAAUAUAAUUUUCCUCAAACUCGGAAAAUAAAGUUCAGAGCUGAUCAAAUUUGAAAACAGAUGUCGAAUCGCGACUCUAAAUAAGGUCAGGCUCCGCCCCGCCAAGCCCCACACCACCUUCUCUGGGGAAAGGCAGCUCUCACCUGGGCAGCCCCUGGAGGCUCCUACCCCCAGAGGGGAAAAUAGGUCUCACGGCAAGACAGCAGUCCCCAGGUGGAUAUUCGGGGGCCAGGACAGCUCUGUCGGAUCUCACCAACCCCACCAGCGCCCAGGUGCU
rnacentral:sRNA from 1 species